CGGACGGGUGAGUAUGUCUGGGAAACUGCCUGAUGGAGGGGGAUAACUACUGGAAACGGUAGCUAAUACCGCAUAACGUCGCAAGACCAAAGAGGGGGACCUUCGGGCCUCUUGCCAUCAGAUGUGCCCAGAUGGGAUUAGCUAGUAGGUGGGGUAACGGCUCACCUAGGCGACGAUCCCUAGCUGGUCUGAGAGGAUGACCAGCCACACUGGAACUGAGACACGGUCCAG
rnacentral:rRNA from 1 species